rnacentral:pre_miRNA from 3 species
UCUUAUGAAUGAGCAAAGGAAAUGAUUUCUUGAGAUGGAAUCUACUUCUGGUGAAAAUGCUAUGAA